rnacentral:snoRNA from 1 species
UGACAGUGGUGAUGAUGACGACUUAAGUCUCUACCCCGAAAAAGGACAUGUGGGUCUUUUGUCACUACCUCAUCUGAACUUCC